AUGAUGAGUGGGUCGUUGGAUGGA
rnacentral:siRNA from 1 species